rnacentral:rRNA from 1 species
CUACGGGAGGCUCCAGUGAGGAAUAUUGCACAAUGGGGGGAACCCUGAUGCAGCAACGCCGCGUGGAGGAUGACGCAUUUCGGUGUGUAAACUCCUUUUAUAUGUCAAGAAAAUGACGGUAGCAUAUGAAUAAGCACCGGCUAACCCCGUGCCAGCAGCCGCGGUAAUACGGAGGGUGCAAGCGUUACUCGGAAUCACUGGGCGUAAAGGACGCGUAGGCGGGUUGGAAAGUCAGGUGUGAAAUCCUACAGCUUAACUGUAGAACUGCACUUGAAACUUCUAAUCUAGAGUAUGGGAGGGGGAGAUGGAAUUAGUGGUGUAGGGGUAAUAUCCGUAGAUAUCACUAGGAAUACCUAAAGCGAAGGCGAUCUCCUGGAACAUUACUGACGCUAAGGCGUGAAAGCGUGGGGAGCAAACAGGAUUAGAUACCCCGGUAGUC